rnacentral:rRNA from 1 species
UACGUAGGGUGCAAGCGUUAAUCGGAAUUACUGGGCGUAAAGCGUGCGCAGGCGGUUUUGUAAGUCUGACGUGAAAUCCCCGGGCUCAACCUGGGAAUUGCGUUGGAGACUGCAAGGCUAGAAUCUGGCAGAGGGGGGUAGAAUUCCACGUGUAGCAGUGAAAAUGCGUAGAUAUGUGGAGGAACACCGAUGGCGAAGGCAGCCCCCUGGGUCAAGAUUGACGCUCAUGCACGAAAGGCGUGGGGAGCAAACAGGA